GGAUAUACACGUACUACUGUGUUUUGGUUCAUCCUCGCUGUUCAUUGUUCAUUGUACAGCGGACCACGACUUAGCUCAGAACAGGUUCCACCAUGGUGUUACGGGGGCACGUGGCUUUGACGGUCGUAACGGUAGCAGCCCUCGUAUCGGUGAUCUUGUUGGCACAUAGCUUUGAGUAUAACGCUGUUCCAAGACCAGCCGGCUUGGAAUACAUCAAACAAAAACCAGACCGUAAAGUUAUGAAGCCCAUUUGUCCCCCGAACCAGACUUUAUCCGGUGUGGAGGAUCUGCUAUGUAUGAAAAUUCCAACGUUCAUGUCAGACUACAAGAACCCUUGUUGGCGGAGAAAAGACGGACAGCUUAGAUGCUUGCCUUAUUUCAUGCUCAUCGGUAUGGACAAGUCCGGGUCUAGUGAUUUGUUUGACCGGAUAACCAAACAUCCGGAUAUUCUAGGGAACGGUGGUGAAAUAGGAAAAGAAACAUGGUGGUGGAGCUGGUCACGUUACGGAUAUAAUUUGAUAAACAGAGUCAAGACACAGAAGUUUGAGGAUUAUUUAAACCUUUUCAAACAUUCCACCCAGACGAUCAACUCCCCCAACAAGACAGACAGCAAUGGUUUCCAUUUCGCCAUCACGGGAGACGGCACACCGAUGGACGCCUGGGAUUUCCGAGGUUGGACUCAGAUUCCGCAAAACAAGGGUCUGCAGGAACCGAAAUUUUUAACGCCAGACCUAGUCCAACACGUUAAUAAAAACAUGAAACUUAUCAUCAUAAUGAGGAAUCCGAUAGAAAGGCUUUACUCAGAUUACUUUUUCCUGAAAUUGGCCGGGCAAUCCUCAGAGGCUUUCCAUAACUCUGUGGUCGCUUCCAUUGACAUCCUGGGUAAAUGUCUGAGCAGACACCCUAUGUUGACAUGCCUAUCGGGUACAAAAGAACACCAAUGCUGGAAUAGAGCGGCUCGGAUCCACAUUGGGUUCUACUCCGAAUAUGUUCUGGAGUGGCUAAGAGUGUUUCCACGGGAUCAGAUCCUUUUCCUCCGUACAGAGGACUACUCUGCCGACCUCAGUGGUCAUCUGGCUAAAGUAUUCAGCUUCCUUGGGUCACGUCCGUUAACAGCAUCGGAAAUAACGUCAUACGGAAUAGACUUGAAAACCAAAAAGCACGUAACACAAAGCAAGAAAACAAAGGGCCCCAUGCUGGAGAAAACUAGAGCGAUACUGUCCACACUGUACGAACCUUAUAACAAAAAACUGGCCAACAUCUUGCAGGACAAUCGGUUCUUAUGGAAAGACAGUAAGGCUAGAUGAUUGCAAAGGACAAUCAAAUGAGGCCUGGUAAAGAGAAGAUGUAUGAUGUGCCUUGCGUCAUGUGGGGUUCACGCCGUACGUCUUGUGGGACUCAAGCCGUACGUCAUGUGGGUUCCACACGGCAAAAUGAUGGAAUAGACAUUCCACUAUACAACAGUUGUGGUACUUCGGGAAGUACAAGCCGUUGAAACCAUACCACAAAAAGACAUAGUGUGAUUCUAGUCCUGAACAGGAAUGGAAACAUUAUCGAACAGCGAUUGGAGUCCUCGUGCAAGGUGUGAACACAGUUCUAUUGACGUCGAUUCGUUUUAACAGUUCUGUUCACGUCAAUGUGUGUCAACAGUUCUGUUAACGUCAAUCUGUGUCAACAGUUCUGUUGACAUCAGGGUGUGUCAACAGUUCUGUUGACGUCAAGGUGUGUCACUCCAGGGCACUUGUAUAGGCAUUGAUGAAACCCGUUACCAUCGUUCAAUCCAAGGCACGCGAAAAGAUAUUUAUGAAUGACGUACAUUGUAGCUUACGUUCAGUCGAAGGCACGUGUAAAGACAAUUAUGUAUGCAUAGCCUACGCUUACUCCAAGGCACGUGUAAAUGUUUCUAUGUACGAUGUAACCAUCGUUCAGUCGAAGGCAUGUGUAAAGUAUCUAUGUACUAUGUAACCAACGUUCAGUCCAAGGCACGUGUUAAAACAAUUAUGUAUGCAUAUCCACUGAUCACUCCAAGGUACGUGUAGAAGUAUCUCUGUAGGAUGUAACCACCGUUCAGUCCGAGGCAUGUGCUGAGGCAUUUCUUUUACAAGCCGUAGCCACCAUCAGGUUCAUGUUCAUGACAUUUGUAUAGACAAUAUAUGACGUGUAUAACCGGGAACUGCGGUAAUCACCUGCCGAAAAGAUUACUAAUAUAGCUUUCAUUAUCAAAUUGAAUGAUGUUUUGUAAAACUGAAUUAUCAAAAUCUCCUGUCGUAUGGGUACUCUGUAUAAACUGUGAAAUUUAACUGAAUGAGAAAGACCACCUAAAAACCGAAAAAAAACCGCUACCAUAUCAUACCACGUUAGCACAGAAGGCUUGGGACAUGAAAAAAAUGGUUGAACAUGAUAUUACAAAGUUUUAAUACCAAGUGAGAACGGGUUUUUAUUCUAUAGGGAAAUUGCUCAAGGCAUUACAGGGGUUGCAUGCCAAGUUAGAAUGGGUUUUUAUCCAAAUGGAAAAACUGUUAAGACACUAAAGUUUUCUACCUCGUCAGCGCUCUAGCCAUAGCAAAAGCAACUCAGUGGUGAAAAAAUGGCUGUAUUUACGUGAUGGUUUUCUGUAUGAAAUGACUUCUCUGGAACGACAAGAAAAACACAUGAGAUCAUCUUAACAAAACAGUGCGAUAUCCUUACCAUGUGCAUUAUGAUAUAUAUGUUGGUCAUCAAAAAAGGGUAAAGUUCUGUUCGGUAGCGUAGAUAAUGUUUCUACAUGGAGAGAGACAUAAAAAGGAAAUAGAUACAUUGCUCAUAUAAUACACCUGCAGAAAUAAAAUAACUUUGAGAUAUGUACAUCGAUAGUUAGGAUACACGCUUAACGAAAGUGGAAGUAAAACCGUGACUACAAUACCAGGUAAUCUGUUAACAACAAAUCGGAGAGGGAGUGAGAGAUAAUAUAUAAGGUACAGGACAUUCGGAAAAUGCUGAGAUAAAGGUAACUAUUUGUUUUCAUGUAAUCCAAAGAACAUACCCAUUCCCAUAUUCCUGUGUAGACAUGCUUUUUCUGAAAAACCCCAAACAGAACAUAGUGCUUGAUAGACAUUAACAGAAACAAGGAAUCGAACGACAAACUUAUGAGAGAAGUUAUCUAUUAUGUUUUUAGUUUUUAAAUGUUGUCGCUGUGUUGUUUAUGGCUUGUACGAUAGUAACCAAUGCCAAUGUACAUGUAACAUUUGUUAUCUAGAAAUAGAUACCUAUAUAAAAGUAUACCAAUGUCAACCAGUUAGCUAUCUUACCAUGUACUGUUAUAGUUUAAUAUGUGUGUACAAUAAAACCUGUCGAUAUCAC
rnacentral:misc_RNA from 1 species